rnacentral:tRNA from 1 species
CAUUAAAUGGCUGAAAGUAAGCAAUGGAAUUUUAAACCAUCAUAUAAUAUUUAACGAAUAUUUUUAAUGA